AAUGACCUCUGAUUCAGCAGUCUCUUUCCACCCCCACCCUACCCGUGACUCACUGACCAACACUCCACUGUCCACUCUCCACAGUCCAUAGACACUCCACACUAAUUACUCCAUAGUCAAGACUCAAGACUUCGUCCCUGUCUCCAACUCCCACUCUCCCUGACUCCCUUCCCCUUUUUCCUUUUUCCUUUCCCCUUUUCCCAGCAGAUUAAGAAAGCAUUUUCCCCUAAUCCGAAGCAUUCUUGGCGAGAUGAAGAGUCCGCAAUUCUGCAUAGACAACAAAGCAUUCCAGGAUUGCUGGUGUAACCGUGUAAGAUUAUCUUUAAUUAAGCUUCUUAAUUAUAUGAAAUUUUGAGAGAAAACUGAAUGUGAAAAGAAUUUAGGUGUAAUUUAUCUAGGUAUUAUGUGAAUUUAGGUGUAAGAUUGCUGGUUCUCAAUAUUUUAAGGUUUUUUUAUAUUUUACAUUUAAUUCUCCAGAGAAAACUGCAAACGUUAGUAGUAAUUUAUUCUUAAUGCCUUUUGCAGUGCUUUGUUGAAUGAAUAUAACGUAGCACUUGAUAAGUUCCUGAGCUAUGAAUUAAAACCAUAUUUGAUUAGAGUUGGAUUGAUGGAGAGGAUGAUAAUUUGGAAAGUUUUAGCUUUUAAGGGAGUUUAUACAUCCUCAUAUAUAGCCAUGGCCACCAUUGUUGAAUUUUCUGUCAUGUUAAGUGUCAUAUUUAUGGUACAGCUUAGAAUUGUGAGUAAUUGUUUCUGUGAUGAUUUGGCUGCAAGAAAUUGUAAUUGCAAUUGUUUCUGUGAUAAUCUGGCUACAAGAAAUUAUGAUUUGGCUGCAAGAAAUUGUUUAUAUGAUGAUUUUGCUUAAUAAAGAGUAAUUGUUUUAUGCUUUAAAUAGUAGUUAGGCAUGACUUUCAAUAUGUCCAGACUCCAGAUCCUUUGUGUUCGACUUCAAUGCCUGGCAAAAGAUUGUAAUAUCUUCACAUACAUUGUUUUUCUUUUUUUAUUUAGGCAUGACUUUCAAUAGUCUGCAAUCUGCAUGGAUAUCUUUGAUUACUGAAGUGGUACCUGCAGUCUGUAGAAGUGCAAUUUGUAUUUUAAGAUAUUUGGAUAUUUGUAUUGUUUAUUUUACUUUUAUUUGAAUUAUGUAUUUUAAGAUAUUUGUAUUGUUAAAAUAUUUUACUUGCGAUUUUAUGAUUUUAGUUAAAAUAUUUUACUUGCGAUUUUA